rnacentral:rRNA from 1 species
CACGUGGGGAACCUGCCCCAUAGUCUGGGAUACCACUUGGAAACAGGUGCUAAUACCGGAUAAGAAAGCGGAUCGCAUGAUCAGCUUUUAAAAGGCGGCGUAAGCUGUCGCUAUGGGAUGGCCCCGCGGUGCAUUAGCUAGUUGGUAAGGUAAAGGCUUACCAAGGCGAUGAUGCAUAGCCGAGUUGAGAGACUGAUCGGCCACAUUGGGACUGAGACACGGCCCAAACUCCACGGGAGGCAGCAGCC